rnacentral:rRNA from 1 species
AGUGGCGGACGGGUGAGUAACGCGUGAGAAUCUGCCUUGGGGUCGGGGACAACCACUGGAAACGGUGGCUAAUACCGGAUAAGCCGAUUGGUGAAAGAUUUAUUGCCCGAAGAGGAGCUCGCGUCUGAUUAGCUAGUUGGUGAGGUAAGAGCUCACCAAGGCAGCGAUCAGUAGCUGGUCUGAGAGGACGAUCAGCCACACUGGGACUGAGACACGGCCCAGACUCCUACGGGAGGCAGCAGUGGGGAAUUUUCCGCAAUGGGCGAAAGCCUGACGGAGCAAGACCGCGUGAGGGAGGAAGGCUCUUGGGUUGUAAACCUCUUUUCUCAGGGAAGAAGCUCUGACGGUACCUGAGGAAUCAGCCUCGGCUAACUCCGUGCCAGCAGCCGCGGUAAUACGGAGGAGGCAAGCGUUAUCCGGAAUUAUUGGGCGUAAAGCGUCCGCAGAUGGCGAUUCAAGUCUGCUGCCAAAGCACGGGGCUUAACUCCGUAAAGGCAGUGGAAACUGAAUAGCUAGAGUGCCGUAGGGGUAGAGGGAAUUCCCGGUGUAGCGGUGAAAUGCGUAGAGAUCGGGAAGAACAUCGGUGGCGAAAGCGCUCUACUGGACGGCAACUGACACUCAGGGACGAAAGCUAGGGGAGCGAAUGGGAUUAGAUACCCC